ensembl:lncRNA
GUGACGUGAGCAUGCACAGGAAGGAGGGGAAGGGCCAGGGUUUACUGUUCGCUGAGAAAGAUGGAAGCAUGCUCUAGAGGUAAUUUGAUAGAAUAAUGUGCACACCUCACACAGAAUUUUGAAUUUUGCUCUUUGGUGAAAUUUCAAGAAAGCUCGCUGUUAACAAUAGUGUAUCAGCUUACUGUCAUACAUUAAAGAGCAGAAGAGAAUCUUAAGACUUUAUUCAAAAGGCUGCCAGCUUCUCCUCUGCCAGUCCUCUCUGCCAUGCCAUCCUGUCUUGGAGCCAGCCAAAUAUGGACUGAAACUUCUACAAACUAUCUGUUUCCAGUUAGUUUUAAUUAAUUAAUUUUGCUAAGUGCUAAAUGUUUUAUGAUGGAGCCAGCCGUCACUUGUUGAACAGCACCUGAAUGGGGGAGUGAGGAUGAAGAAAAAGAAAGACGCAGAGAUAGAGUUGGGAGCCUCUCAGAGAGACUGCCGCUGCGCUUUUUUAUUCUCCUCCUUUUUUUUCACAGGUUUACAGAGCUCAGACUGUCCAGUGACCUACAGAUCACAGCUGUGUGUCGGAAAAGCAGCCCUGGAGACAUUCAUGUAUCUGCCCCGGAAUCUGAAACUACCUGUGCCUGCCUCUCUGACCACUCCCUGAAGCUCCUCUCUCAGCCUCCUUCCUGCAGCCCCUCAGCACGUGGUGUUUGGCAGUUGUCUCCAUCUUGGUUUGCUAGAUUUCCAAAUCAACCCUCUCCUUCCCCCAAUAGCUUCUCCAGGAGUCACCGACCUUCUCAAGAGGUUUCAGAUUGUUUUCAAUUUUUCAUUAUAGUAAAUAGUUUAAAGUGGAUAUAUUCCUUAUUUGCCUUUUAGCAUUCAAGUAUAUUUUCUGUUUACUUUUAUUUCAUUGCCAUCUUUAGUCUUAAUUGUGAUUAUGAUGUAUUUAUUUAUAAUAUUACUAUGAAAUUUAUUCCUUUUGCUGCUUUGCAGGGGAAUUUGUGCUGAAGUCACUGUGCAUAAACAUAAGAUGGAUUGCUACUAUUUAAAUAUUUGAAACCUUUGAGGAAGUCAGAGAGCGUCACAGUCAG